GUUUUGGAGAGUUAUAAAGAAACGUUCUCACUUAAGUUUUCAUAUAAAAGCCUUUCUGAAGUGUGCGAUUUCUCAGAGCUGCACAGGAGAUUCAUUCUUUUCAGCUCAUCACAAGAUUAUACAACAGCAGAAUGUACAAGAAAUUAAUGCACUGGAGAACAUUUAUGAAGAAACACAGACUGAUGAUAAUAAAAAACACUGUAUGGACAAGAGAGAAAGAGAAAAUGGUGAACAAAAAAGAUAAAAAUUUACAAUCUAAUCAUCCAAAACAGAAAAAGAGGCAGACUCUAGUCAGACAAAACAGCAUUAACAGCGGCAAACCAAACCUUUCUUGUGUAACACAGAUUCAUUCUGGUGUUUCAGAGUCACACAAGAGGUGAGACACACACAUCAUAUACAGAGAAUAAAAACUGUGCUGAACUGAUGCACAAAUCUGGUGCUAUAUUGAUCUGUCUGUGUGUGUGUGUGUGUGUUACAGUUCUGAGUGUGUUUUCUCUUUUAGACUUACAGUAUAAGAUGAAUGUGUUUGAAUGGAUUUUAUAUUGAACGGAGUCUUGUGGUGCCAUCCCAAAGAGACACAAAAUCACUUUCACAGACCUUUUCCUUGUCUGUUCUCUGCUCUCUAACUCAAUCUGAGCAGCCUUUAGCCAUCUUCAAGAAACUGCUAAUGAUGCAUCUUUAUCACCAACACUACACCCAUUAAUACUAACACUUACAAUUCUAUAUCUGUAUAUCAAUUUAUUUUUUAUAUAUUUAAAAAAAAAACUUGGUAUGUGUACUGUGCUGGAUUAACUGGGACCAGCGCCCUUGCAUAUUGUUGGUUUGAUACUUCUUUUGUUCUCUUCAUUUGUAAAUCGCUUUGGACAAAAGAGUCUAUUAAAUGAUUCAAUGUAAUAGAGUCUCAUGAACACAGUCGAGCACAGAAGACCUACUGUACAGCCAAGGUCAGGAUUUUCAUUAAAUAAUACAUUAAAUUUCGGUUUGUUUUUUUACCAAACCCUACUGUAUAUUCCCAGAAUACUUGGAAUGUAUGGCAUCUGUUGCAUUGGACCAAUUUGUGACUCUUUUGCAUCUUUUUUAAAGCUUGAUACUGAGCUCUGUUUACUGUCAUUAUAUGGACUAGAGCAGGACACUUUUUAAAAACUCUUCUUUUGUGGUUUGAAAAAGAAAGAAGGGCAUGCUGCAUUAGAACCCCAGGAUGACUUCAUUUUCUUUUUAGGGUGAACUAUCCCUUUAAGAAUAUUUGGCCUGUACUUGCUUAACCUUUAAUUAAAAUAUACUUGUAAUUAAGUGUAAUUAAGUGUAAGUGUAAUUAAAUGUAAUUAAGUGUUCUAAGUAUACUUGGCUUGUAGUUGUGUUUACACAUUUCAAUCAUGACAACUGUUGUAAGAUUGUUAGCAUGGUAGACAAUGUUAAUGUAUUUGGACUUGAUGGAACAUGACUGAGCUAUGUAUUUCAAUGAGUUUACAUACAGUCUUAUAAACUGGCAUUGUUUGAAAAUAUUGAUUAAAGCAGAAAUAUUGCUAAAGUAUGUGAAUGUUUGUGUAGUCCACAGGUAGUGUACAUAGGAAUCUACUAACUCUUUCCCCACCAUUGAGGGAAUUUUCUGACAUUUGUGACACAAUGCUUCCCCGCCAAUGACAGAAUUUUCCGUCAAUCCAUGUUUUCACUGUUAUAUGGUAGGGGGCGCUAUUACACAUCUUCUGAAAGAGUACAGAAUCUCCAGAUCAAAACACAGGUGAAGAAGCAGAAACUGUGAUGAAGCAUUGCUGACGCUCAUAUAAAAUAACAUGAUCAUUAAACAUUAAACAACAUAUAAAUCAAAACUGCCUAAUCUUACUGAAUGAAAUAUCAAACCCAUGAAGAGGAAAUUAUAGAGGAGUUUAUAGAUCGACUUUAACGAAAACGCAAUGAAACUUACCCAUAUUCAAGUGUUGAUAAAAAAGAAAUUAAUGAAGCUCAAAUAAAAUGGUUUGUUGUUUAAAAUCAGAGGCUAUGUUCUUUCUUUUGAUAUAUUGUAUGUUUAGAUAUUCCUACAAAAAUAUUGUGGCACUGGCUGGUAUCUUUAAAAAAAGAAGGAAAAAAAAAAAAAAAAAAUCUAAUGAUUUUAUCUGCAAAAGCGUAAGUACUAAACAAAAUAUAGUUUUGGUGAAAUAAAAAUGUAAUUCUUACAUUGAUCAUAGGACUUUAGUGUGACUUGAGUUGACUGUGUUGCAAGCUUUAUGUAACUGCUCACAUGAUUCCUCGAGUAUAUGACCGGGGCGCCUGCAGCAGAGCCUGGCCUGCAGGACUGUCAUGCGCUGCACAAGAAAAAACAAAAAACAAAAUCAAAACAAGCCACAUUAGCCACAUUAUUUAAAGCUUUGCCCCACUGUAAACUGGGAAAGUUAUACACUGUAGUAUAGAAGUUAGACAUUCUCAGUUUUGCUGAACAAAAAAAACAUAUGUUGUACAUAAGAUGUGGAAAAAAAGUAGGCCUAUUUAAGAGGGUACUCGAUCAAAAGAGUACACAGAACUACAAGCCAAGUAUAAUUAGAAUACUUAAUUAUACUUUUAAUUUGAUUAAUUCGAGACUAUAGAAUAGCAAUUGCAUUAAAUAGAAUUAAUUUUUUUAAUAGUGUUUGUUACCCUCUUUGACCACCAGAUAGCGAAACUAUGCAAACUCAAAAGUUUUCAUAUGCUCAGAAUUAGGAAUGUAUAAUUUUUUUAUAAAUCAAUAUUUUCAAACAAUUUAAGUAGACAUUUUAUGUGGAAAAAAAGUAGGCCUAUUUAAGAGGAUACUCAAUCAAGAGAGUACACAGAACUACAAGCCAGGUAUAAUUAGAAUACUUAAAUCUUUGGAUCGAUAUAUAAUUAAAAGUAUAAUUGUGUACAAGUUCAGUUCAGCUCACAUUUAUUUGUACAGCGCUUUUCACAAUAAAUAUAGUUUCAAAUCAGCUUUACAGAAAACAUUACACUACAUAUAAAAUACAAUCUCUACACAAUACAAAUGUACAGGCCAAAUAUACUUCAACUUUUCUGUCAUUACAAGUCAAGGAUACUUAAGUGUAAUUAAGUAUAUAACUAAAAAUAUAUUACUAAAAAUACUUAAAAAUGAAGAGAUCAUUGUAUGUUGUGUAAGACAAAAGCUGAGAUCAAGCACCCGGCAAUAAAGCAAUAAAACUCAUCUAGAGAGAAGAUCUAAAAGAAUAGGACACUGCCUUGCCCAAACUCUCCUCACACAUCCACCACCCCACCCUCCCCCCCACCCCACCCCACCCCUACACCCUUCCUUCCCAUCCCACCCACCCCCACCCCCACACCCUUCCUUCCACCCCCACCCCCACCCCCCUACACCCCCACUUCCUUCCUUUCCCUCCCAGGCUCAAGUCACACAAAGUUCUCUAAGUUCUCUGUAUCUAUUGUUUUUUCACUUUCAUGUUUGGUAUCAUUUUAAAGGUCUCAGUGCGAUUGGUAAAAUGGUCUCAAUUUCACUUGUGUUAUGAAAAACUUUGAAAACUCAGGAGAAUUCUGUGCUCCUUUUGAGCUUAGCUGAGUGACUAACUUAACCAUUCUGAUCUGUGAAAUCUUUCACAAAUAAUAACAGUGAACUUAGAGACUCAGGGAAGAGUUAGCUGACAAAACUGUACUGUGUUUUCACAAAUAAAACUACUGAUGUUAGGGACACCGGGAAAAGUUCUCUGACUAAAACUGCACUGUGAAAGACUUCACAAAUCAGAGAGUGGACGGAGAAGAGCUUUACUUUGAAAAAAAGCAGUUCACGAUGACACUGCGGUUCUAAGAGUCACAUCCCAUGGUUUCAGAUGCUGUGGUCAGGUGUGUAAACAAGAAAGUCAGAAAUGUGAGAUUUUAAACAUUGAGAAAAAGGUGAGAGUUGUUUAUUGUUUAUAUUAGCAAUUCUGAGAAACAAAACUAUUCUGUGGCCAAAACAAACUUUUGGUUAAAACAGGAAGAGUUCACAGGUGGUUUCACUUUAUGCUUAUAAAACACUAAACAGCCAGAGCACAGAUGUCAGAGCUGAGUGGAUAUUUCCUUUUUGGCUGAUCACAAGAAUAACUAAAUGGACAAAAGAGAAAGAGAAAAAUGGUGAACAAAAAGGACAAAAAUUUACAAUCUAAUAAAUCAAUACAGAAAAAGACACCGAGUCUAGUCAGACAAAACAGCAUUAAUAGUGGCAAACCAAACUGAGUAUUUAUGAUGUUUCAGAUCAAAUACUUUCAUAUUUCAUCAUCAACAGUGUUUCAUCUUCUCUGUGUCUGAAUGUGUAAAAUCAAUUUUAAACUAUAUCUUUUUAGUCACUCUGUAUUAACUAUAAAGGAACAGCAAGUUUACAAAUUGUUAUAUUGUCAUGUGGACUAUGCAAACAUGUUAUGUGAAAUUCAGUUCAAAUCUGUUAUGCUUAUAGUCAGGGCAGGACUUUUGUUUUAAAAUCACAUAGUAUUAAUUAAAAUUAUUACCAUUUUGCAGAUUCUGCCAGAUGCAUGUAAAUUUAUGUCCACAAAUGCAUGAUGCUUUGAUUCAAAGUGAAACUGAUUCAUGAAUCAGUUCAUUCAAUCAAAUGAUACACUGCUGUUUGAGCUACAUAUGUUUGUGUUCUUCAUUUCCAGUUUCUCACGUUGCACAGAUUCAUUCUGGUGUUUCAGUGAGUUGCAGAAGAGGUGAGACACUCACACAUCACAUACAGAGAAUAAAUAGAGUUGAAACUUUGUAGAACUGAUGUUAUAUUGAUCUUUGUGUGUUAUAUUUCUGAGAGUGUCUUUUCAGAAAGCAGCAGUUCUAUUCAUCUCACCUAAAAAUAUUCUUCAUUUUACCUAAACUUCUUGUUUUGUGUUCAUUUUCUCAUUGUAAUUGAUCAUUUAAUUAAUAAAAAUCAGCAAGAGAGAUAA